AUUGAACGCUGGCGGCAGGCUUAACACAUGCAAGUCGAGCGGAAACGAUGAUAGCUUGCUAUCAGGCGUCGAGCGGCGGACGGGUGAGUAAUACUUAGGAAUCUACCUAGUAGUGGGGGAUAGCUCGGGGAAACUCGAAUUAAUACCGCAUACGACCUACGGGAGAAAGGGGGCAACUUGUUGCUCUCGCUAUUAGAUGAGCCUGAGUCGGAUUAGCUAGAUGGUGGGGUAAAGGCCUACCAUGGCGACGAUCUGUAGCUGGUCUGAGAGGAUGGUCAGCCACACCGGGACUGAGACACGGCCCAA
rnacentral:rRNA from 1 species